rnacentral:rRNA from 1 species
CUGCUCAAUGAUUUUUUAAAUUGCUGUGGUAUUUUGACUAUACAAAGGUAUUGUAAUAAGAUUUUAAUUGAAUGCUAAAAGAAUGGAAAUUUAAAAAAAAACUUUUUUAAAAAUAAAAAUUGAAUUUUUUUUAAUUUGUGCAAAAACAAUUAUACUUAUUAAAGACAAGAAGACCCUAAGAAUUUAAGAUUUUACAAUUAAAAAGUUUUUUUUUUAAAAUCUUGAUUGGGGCGAUCAAAAAAUAUUAAUAACUUUUUAAAAUUUAAAUUGAUCUAUUAUUAAUAAACUAAUGAAUUAAAUACUCUAGGGAUAACAGCGUAAUAAUUUUUGAUAGAUCUUAUUGACAAAAUAGUUUGCGACCUCGAUGUUGGAUUAGGAUUCUUUUUUAAUGAAGAAGUUAAAAAAAGAAGUUUGUUCAACUUUUAAAUUCCUACUUGAUCUGAGUUCAGACCGG